GUUCCUUUUAUACACAAUUAUGAACAAUGCUCAUAAUUAUAUACAAAUAGUGCCCCAUUCUCGAAACAUCAGAAAAUGCAGAACAUAUUAAGUGUAUUUGAUUUAAAAAAAAGAUGAUUUAAAUGCAUUUCAAAAGGCAGAUUCUGCUUGAGGACGAGUUUGUUUUAAUAAGAGUUGAAGCCAUUUUAAUGAACGUAUAACCGAAACACAUCAAAGAAUUAAAUUCGGGGAGGGGGGUUGCGGUGUGAUUUUGUUGACCUCUAAUGCGAGCAACUCCCUCACAUGUCAUGCGAUUGGAAUUUUACAAAUAUAUUUCAGAAAGCUCACGAGACCGAUAUUUUUUUCGUAGAAGAGUGAAAUGAUGCAUAUAAUGAUCUUAUUUUUUUUUAGAGUUUUUACCCCAGAGGGUAUGAUGAGCAGGGUUCAUUAUUUCAAGGAAGCUCCUUGAUUAUUUUUUAACCAUUUGAAAAUUAAACAUUUAUUGAAAUUUUUUCUUUUUUAUUUUUAUUUUGACGAAUCAGUAUGUUCUUUCCAUUAGAAAUAAAAAUGAUCAACUUCAAACCUCAGGCUACGAGGAGUUUGGUAAAAUUAGGUGGGGGAAUGGCCUCGUGUACAAUAAUCAGCCCAUACUUUUUAUUGCUAUGUAAGAAACUGCAACAAACGAAUUAUAAUCUGGACCCUAAUUAAAUAAUUCCUAGGGAUUAUACUUAUAAGAAGAGGAACCUACGUACACUUGUGUUUGUAUCCAUUUAAUUUAUAUUGCAUAUGCGUAGACCCAAUUAGAAAAAGAAAGAAGAGUCUGAAUAAUCAAGCAACAUUAGAAUUCUAAACAAUGCAUAGUUUGGGCCUUUCGCAUUGUCAUGAUAAUGUCAUGAACAGAAGCUAUGCAUAUAACAGCAUAAUUGGGUAAUAUGAAAGGUUAGCCAAUCAGGACACGACGAACCAACUUCCCAUUCAUCCCACAAAAAUUAAUUAAUGUUCAGAAAAUGUAAGAAAGUGUGCAAUGAUCUG